AUUGAACGCUGGCGGCAGGCCUAACACAUGCAAGUCGAGCGGAUGAGAAGAGCUUGCUCUUCGAUUCAGCGGCGGACGGGUGAGUAAUGCCUAGGAAUCUGCCUGGUAGUGGGGGACAACGUUUCGAAAGGAACGCUAAUACCGCAUACGUCCUACGGGAGAAAGCAGGGGACCUUCGGGCCUUGCGCUAUCAGAUGAGCCUAGGUCGGAUUAGCUAGUUGGUGAGGUAAUGGCUCACCAAGGCGACGAUCCGUAACUGGUCUGAGAGGAUGAUCAGUAAAACUGGAACUGAGACACGGUCCAGACUCCUACGGGAGGCAGCAGUGGGGAAUAUUGGACAAUGGGCGAAAGCCUGAUCCAGCCAUGCCGCGUGUGUGAAGAAGGUCUUCGGAUUGUAAAGCACUUUAAGUUGGGAGGAAGGGCAGUAAGUUAAUACCUUGCUGUUUUGACGUUACCGACAGAAUAAGCACCGGCUAACUCUGUGCCAGCAGCCGCAGUAA
rnacentral:rRNA from 1 species